CAGAGCCUCAAAGAGCACCCAGCAUAACUGUGGGAGAAUAGUAAGCAUUGGACACAAAAUGGUUUAGGCAAAUAAUGAUGAACAAAAAUGGUCAGUCUGUGUUCCUGCUGACCCAGCACAGUGGGGACGCUGUGUAGGACAUGACCUUUGGGGGAAAGGACACAAGAACUCAGCGUGGGGGAUCCAGAAAAGAAGUCGCACGUAUUGAAGCCAGUAACGCCAAGCCAGUGAAUUCUCCUUGACGAGAAAGACCCACUUACUCUGCAGAAGAGAUAUAUGACAGCUGACAAUCCCUGGAGGAGAAUCUUUCUACUAAAUUGGUAAGGGAUGCUAAGCAAAUGAUGUGGACUCAGGAAACAACGCAUUUCAUGAUAUACGGUUGCCUCUCAAGGUGAAUUCGAGACCCCUCUUGAAUUACAAAGAGUUGAAAACAUUCAAGUACGGAAUAAACUAUUACUGCGAAUACGCUCAUAUGACACAAGAACAAUCUCUGAGCUUCUUUGAGGAUGUCCAGAUGACUGCUGACUGCACUAAUUGCAUCAAUCGUGUAUCCAUACAGGUUCUUUCUAUAAAAUAGUGGUCGCUAGUUAUGAGGCGUUAAGCCUUCAUGGAUAUAAACAGACUAUUCCACCUAAGUGAUCUGGCAGAAGCUUAGUUUUCUACCACAACAUCCACCGUCCUCCCUCCCUCCCUUCCUAGCUGGUCAGAAAAGCUACUCAGAAUAAAGACUACAUUUCCCAGCCAUCUUUGCAGCUAGGUUUAUCCACCUGACUAAAUUCCACCGUAACUCCAGGUUGAAGAACUUCUACUUAUAGGCAUCUAUUCAACGAAGACGAAUCCUGGAAUGGGGAUGGAAAUGAUGGCUCAUGUCUUAGCAAACUACCAAACUGAUCCGAGAGGACAGGGAAGUCAGUGUGGGCGGCUCUAAGGAGCCUCCCUCUCUACAGCUGCGGCUCAGAGGAUUACGGCGCUUCAUCCACAAGGCAACAUUGCACAAGUAGCUUUUGAACAAAAGUCAUGGAUACUAUUAAUGAUAUGUUCCCACACACAUUUAGUGUCGUCUCAAAAUUCACGCUGUCAACUGUCUCUAGGAAUCAUUUCCAUCUGAGAACAGACCACACAAAGACACAGUGAAACUCAGUUUCUGCAGAAUUUGAUUUCAUUUGAGUUACUGGGGAACAAAGCAAUUAGACAAUGAAUAAUAGCUCAAGACAGGCUGAAGCUGAAGAUUUCUGCAAAAGAAUGAAGAGGAAACGUUUUGAUCCUGAGCAGAUGUUCUCCCUAGAUUGCUUCACCUGAGGUUGAUUGACUUUUGGAAACGAGAUUUGUUCCCAGUGCUUUGUGAGUCUCUUGUUGGAAGGACUGUCUUUAAAUUAAAGCAAUUAGAGUUACUUUAUAAGAUUUACCCAAAUAUAAGAGCUGAAGAGAAUAAUUCAAAUUGAUCAGAAGAAAAUACUCAAUUACUGACAAAUGUCAAUUACAUCAAUAGGAGGAGAAAAUGUGUAAUUGUAAGCAGCUGAACUAAAAUAUCUCUGUGACAUUUUGCUGGUGACUCCAGCCCUGUGAGAUCUGAGUGGCUCAGGAAUCAAAUUCUCCCACAAACCUGAGGAAGCCUUUUAUUCUUAAUGCCAACAGGAUGCCCCAUGCCCAGAAUGUCAAAUCUGAACACCAAUGGAAUGCAUUUUAUAAACAAAUUGAAAAAGGACAAUCUUUAACAGAAUUGUUGUUCUCUAGGCAGAUUAGUUGUGCUUCAAAUACAAAAUGAAAUAUUAGAGAACAAAAUUAUUUUUAAACAGCUAAUACUAGUAGAAAAUAAAAGGCUGAAAAGUGCUAUAAUGUGUAAAA
rnacentral:lncRNA from 1 species